rnacentral:lncRNA from 10 species
AGUAGACAUAACAAUGACUCUAUUGAACUGGAAGUUAAGACUGCCACUAGGCCACUUUGGGCUCCUUAUGCCUGGGUCAACAGGCCAAGGAGGGAGUUAUAGUGUUGGCUGCAUGGCUGAUCUGACUACUAAGGGGAAAUUGGACUACUGCUCAACAAUGGAGAUUCUCUCUGGACUAUUUCAUGGCUCAGGAACCACAUCCUCCUUCCCCACUUCCUGAGUGUAUGGGAUGGCCACAUAUACUGAAGCUCAAUCUUAUGAAAAGAGCAUUUCAGAGGCAGGAGGAUCUGGAUUUGAAUUCCGGCUUGAUCCUGGGCUGAACAGGACCAGUUCUGCUUUCUGCCCUGGGGCAAGUUACCCAACAUCGCUGAGCAUCUGUUUCCUUCACUAUAAAAUGAGGAUGAUGAUACCACGUGGGAUUGUUGAGAAGAUAAAAAGAGAAAGCACUUGAAAAGCUUCUAAACAUGACCUCUCACAAAGCUGUUCAAUAACUGUUAGCUCCCUUUUCUCCUCCUUGCAGCUGCUGUUUCCUGGAGUUGCAAACGUUUCUAGGUGAGCUCAUGUGAGACCAUCUGAAACAUUCCAAGAAGUAGUCCAGAUGUAAAGACAGCUUUAUCUUUGGCCAGGUGCAGUCUUACUAGAAUGGCCCAUCCUGGUAGAGAAUCAUGUGGCCCCUUAGACAACUAUGACACCAGGAAUUGGAUGAAACAAAGUUUCAGCUACAGGAUGAGGAUAUAUAGAUAAAUGUUGAUGACAUAUUUCUUUCCUUUUUUGGUUUCCUUUUCCCUUGAAAAUGCUUUCAGAUCUCUGAGACAUCCCGUUGUCAUCUUCCUCUUUUAAAACCCUUCGUGUGCUCUUUUCUAUGAAGGGCUGGUUGGCAGCUGAUGAGGCCCCAGGCUGGAAGGAACUCACCGGCUCAUGGCUCACCAACCCCUAACUACAGCUGGGCAGGCAAGGAGGGAGGCUGCAAUUUCAUUCACUUCUUUAGAUUGAUGUUUUGACAUCUUUAGAAGCCUCUGUUAAAAUGGAAAUGUGGAAUCUGAGUAGUGUGGUCAAACUGGUAUACGAGGACAUUUUGGUGGUGACUCAAGUCUGAUGAAGCUUUUCUAGUAAUUUGUGCCUUCCAUUUCCUAGGAACAAGAGUGAGUGAGGACUAAGGACACAAAACAGCAGCAGUUUCAGCCCCACUCCUAUAAUAUUCUAAAAGCUUGUCCUUAGAUCUUGAUAUUCUUCUCUCAGGCAGAGAGCUUAAGAAUAUUAGAGAAAUAUCCUGAUACUUUUGCAUUUUAAGGUAAGCCACAGCCAGAAAGAACAAUGGGAGGCCCAGAAGCCCACCUCCAACCACUCCAACCAGAUACACCAAGGACUCUGGCUCAGACCAGAUACAGCCACCUUGGUGAUCCAGAGAGGCCUCCUGCUGGGUGCAGUGGCUCAAGCCUGUAAUCCCACCACUUUGAGAAGCUGAGGUGGGAGGAUUGCUUGAAGCCAGGAGUUCAAGACCAGCCUGGGCAACAUAGCAAGACCCCAUCUCUACAAAAGAAAAAAAGAGAGAGAGAGUGAGAGAGGCCUCCUAUCAGGAAUCAUGCUCAAGUUCCAAUUCAAUUUCAAUGAGAGAUAAGGGAGUAAACAGCAGGAAGGAGGGAGAUUCCAGAAGACCCCAAGACUGCAUUGUUGGGCUGUCAUUGUUCAUGGGAAUUACUCACCCAUGGGUCUCCAUCGGGUUUCACCCACAGGUCUGUGCACCAUGUCUUGCUCUCUAGGAACCAGAACAUCUCUAUGGUUCUUUGGAUAGAAGUACUCUAUUUCAGUGACUCUUAGAUUUUUGUUUAUUUUUAAAAAGGGAUAGUUGUGGUGAAUUGCAUUAGGAUUACUAAAAUAAAAGCAUUAAGAAACUCCCCAAAACUCCAAAUACAUCUGGAGUCAUUCUUUCCUAAUAGGGACAAUAUUUUAUUACCAAAAAUGGUAGAAGGGUUAGAAGGGCCUAAGUCUCAGGAUAAAGGAUAGUUCAUUGCAUUUAACUAAUUCACAUUCAGAAAAAUGUUUUUCAAAUUGAUCUUAUUUUUCUUAUUUUGCCAUGGAUUGAUAAAACUUUAUCACAAAUUAGAACAGAGAAUUAGGAGGUCUAUGUUUAAAUCCAGACCCUGAUGCUAUUUACAUCCCCUAGGCAAAGGAAUUAUUCUCUCUGACUUUUAUUUUGUUAUUUCCUAAAGGAAAGAAUUGUAUUAGUUGAUUUCUUAAGCAGCUCUCACUUUCUUUGAGCUCCUAUUUCUCUGAUUGUAAUGUGGAAAACUGAGCUCUAUUUCAUACAUAACCACACCCUUCAUCUAACAUUUUAUAACAAAUAUUGUUUCCCUGAUUUCUCCAUUUGCAGCCCAGAUAACAACUCUCUUCCUAGGAUUAGUGAAAGCUUGUAGUAUCAUACAAAACCCAGUAAUUUUCCCACUAAUCGGGGAGUUUCCCAGAAUUAUCUGCCAAAGGUUAUUUUGGCACCUAACAACGUUUUUUACUUUUCCGUCAUCAGUAUUAUCAUCAACAAAAAAUAUUUCUUAAGUUAACAAGGAAAAUACUGAAUACAGAGAAUAAAGACAUAAUCAUAGAAUGGGUAAAAGUUCAGGCAGUCUGUUAGAGAGCAGUACUUUUCUCAUAUCUUAACCACAUCAAGGACCUGGGACAGGGAUGAUGGUGAUUGGAGCGGCAGCUUUGAGGGUCACAUACUGAUGUCGUCAGUGGAAAGAGAAGCCAGCACCCCCCUUCUCAUCAGUCCAAAACCAUCAUAGAAAAAAAAAAACAGGAUUACGUAAGAAGUUGGACUAUGGGGAGGGCAGGAGAAGUGAGACUUUAUGGGGCCAGAUGUCAAGGACAUUUCACAAAAGAGAGCCAUACCUUAGAUCAAUGCUGCGACUGGCUCCCAGAGACAUUUAGUCAUGUCUGGAAACAUCUUUGAUUAUCACAUCUGUGAAGGAGUGCUAUUGACAUCUAGAGAGUAGAAGCCAGAGGUGCUGCUAAACAUCCCAGAGAACACAGUCACCCUAUAAACACAGGGCAGCCCCCACAAUGAAGAAUUAUCCAGCCCAAAAUGUCAAUGGUGUUGAAGUUGAAAAAUCCUGCAUUGGAGUAAACUUGAGAGUGAUCAUGAGACUAAGAGCAAGAGAACAUUUGACGUCGGUGUGAUAAACAAGGAAAGGGAUAUCUUUGAGGCAGAGAAGAGGAAAGUGAGGAGGUACAUUCCUUACCAAAAUCUGGACACCUCCCAUCCUUUACUGAGGUUCUAGAAUCAGUCCUAAGAAGUACAGAAGAUCUAGCAUCCAGGCCGGGCCUGUUGUCCUGAGAGCAGAAGCAGGGAGUUGGGAUGAAAAGCAGAGGGACUACUGCUCUCCCUCAUCAGUGCAUUUACCAUGGAAAACUGCUGGUGUGAAGAUGGCUAAGACCACACUGAAUGAGAAGGAAUGAGAGCAAGUGACGUGAGGGCCAAGUCGUCAGACCCAGAGCAAAGCAUGAGGUGUCCGUGAAACCAUCUUUCAGAGGCAGGAUCCGCACAGUUCAGAGGAUAUUUAAGCUCAACAACAUCUCCAUUCUUCUCUUUUAAUUGCCUGUGAUGUUCCAUGUAAUACUGGACCAACUCAGCCGAAGUGGCAAACUUUUCCCCCCAAACGGGUCCUAGUAAUCACCAGUGUUCUGAAUCUUGAUGUGGGUGACAGCUCUAUUUCUUCU